GACGAACGCUGGCGGCGUGCUUAACACAUGCAAGUCGAACGGAAAGGCCCUGCUUGCAGGGUACUCGAGUGGCGAACGGGUGAGUAACACGUGGGUGAUCUGCCCUGCACUUCGGGAUAAGCCUGGGAAACUGGGUCUAAUACCGGAUAGGAGCCAUUUUUAGUGUGAUGGUUGGAAAGUUUUUUCGGUGUAGGAUGAGCUCGCGGCCUAUCAGCUUGUUGGUGGGGUAAUGGCCUACCAAGGCGGCGACGGGUAGCCGGCCUGAGAGGGUGGACGGCCACAUUGGGACUGAGAUACGGCCCAGACUCCUACGGGAGGCAGCAGUGGGGAAUAUUGGACAAUGGGCGAAAGCCUGAUCCAGCCAUGCCGCGUGUGUGAAGAAGGCCUUUUGGUUGUAAAGCACUUUAAGUGGGGAGGAAAAGCUUAUGGUUAAUACCCAUAAGCCCUGACGUUACCCACAGAAUAAGCACCGGCUAACUCUGUGCCAGCAGCCGCGGUAAUACAGAGGGUGCAAGCGUUAAUCGGAAUUACUGGGCGUAAAGCGCGCGUAGGUGGUUAUUUAAGUCAGAUGUGAAAGCCCCAGGCUUAACCUGGGAACUGCAUCUGAUACUGGAUAACUAGAGUAGGUGAGAGGGGAGUAGAAUUCCAGGUGUAGCGGUGAAAUGCGUAGAGAUCUGGAGGAAUACCGAUGGCGAAGGCAGCUCCCUGGCAUCAUACUGACACUGAGGUGCGAAAGCGUGGGUAGCAAACAGGAUUAGAUACCCUGGUAGUCCACGCCGUAAACGAUGUCUACCAGUCGUUGGGUCUUUUAAAGACUUAGUGACGCAGUUAACGCAAUAAGUAGACCGCCUGGGGAGUACGGCCGCAAGGUUAAAACUCAAAUGAAUUGACGGGGGCCCGCACAAGCGGUGGAGCAUGUGGUUUAAUUCGAUGCAACGCGAAGAACCUUACCUGGUCUUGACAUAUCUAGAAUCCUGCAGAGAUGCGGGAGUGCCUUCGGGAAUUAGAAUACAGGUGCUGCAUGGCUGUCGUCAGCUCGUGUCGUGAGAUGUUGGGUUAAGUCCCGCAACGAGCGCAACCCUUUUCCUUAGUUACCAGCGACUCGGUCGGGAACUCUAAGGAUACUGCCAGUGACAAACUGGAGGAAGGCGGGGACGACGUCAAGUCAUCAUGGCCCUUACGACCAGGGCUACACACGUGCUACAAUGGUUGGUACAAAGGGUUGCUACACAGCGAUGUGAUGCUAAUCUCAAAAAGCCAAUCGUAGUCCGGAUUGGAGUCUGCAACUCGACUCCAUGAAGUCGGAAUCGCUAGUAAUCGCAGAUCAGAAUGCUGCGGUGAAUACGUUCCCGGGCCU
rnacentral:rRNA from 1 species